rnacentral:lncRNA from 1 species
AGUGGAGCAGGAUUGUGGCCAUUAUUGUAGCCUACCACGGAGAACCUGUUGUGGGUAGUGGAGCAGAAUCGUGGCUAUUAUUGUGGCCUACCACGUGGAGCCUGUUGUGGGUAGUGGAGCGGCGUCCGUUGUCACGGCUUGCCAGAGGGUGGAGAGACUGCACGGUAUCCAUCGCAGGAAGUGGAGCAGAGUCGUGGCCGUUACUGCGGCCUAUC